rnacentral:rRNA from 1 species
UCGAGAAUCUUCCGCAAUGGGCGAAAGCCUGACGGAGCGACGCCGCGUGCGGGAUGAAGGCCUUCGGGUUGUAAACCGCUGUCGAAGGGGAGCAAAUUUGAGCGAUCCUUGGAGGAAGCACAGGCUAAAUUCGUGCCAGCAGCCGCGGUAAUACGAAUUGUGCGAACGUUAUUCGGAAUCACUGGGCUUAAAGGGUGCGUAGGCGGUCAUGUAGGUCUGAUGUGAAAUCCCACGGCUCAACCGUGGAACUGCGUUGGAAACCCCAUGGCUGGAGUAGGACAGAGGUGAGCGGAACAGAUGGUGGAGCGGUGAAAUGCGUUGAUAUCAUCUGGAACACCGGUGGCGAAAGCGGCUCACUGGGUCCUAACUGACGCUGAUGCACGAAAGCCAGGGGAGCAAACGGGAUUAGAUACCCAUGUAGUCCCUGAGCGGGCUGGCAAGGCGCAU